rnacentral:lncRNA from 1 species
GAUAAUGUAUGAGGAAAUAUCGAAAAGUCUGUUUCCAGCAUAUGAAGUUUGACCCAUCUGUUAAUGCUUUUAGAAAAUCUGCUUGUGGAUAUUUUAACAGUUGUUAUUGCCACAUGACUAAAAAUGUCAUCAAGCAAAGGGCAACCAGUAGUUCAAAGUAUUCAAGUUCUGAAGCCUGUUUGAUUAGUUUGGGCAUAAAAGCAUGUGCUCAACUUCUGUAACUACCGUAAAAGGUUUGCUCAAGAGUUUGC